rnacentral:tRNA from 1 species
GCUGGUGUGGCUCAGUGGUUGAGCAUCUAUCUAUGAACUAGGAAGUCAUGGUUUGGGACCAUGCCCGGGCU